rnacentral:rRNA from 1 species
GACAGAGGGUGCAAACGUUGCUCGGAAUUACUGGGCGUAAAGCGCGUGUAGGUGGUCUGGUAAGUCGGGUGUGAAAGCCCAGGGCUUAACCCUGGAAGUGCAUUCGAAACUGCCAGGCUAGAGUACUGAAGAGGAUCGCGGAAUUCCCGGUGUAGAGGUGAAAUUCGUAGAUAUCGGGAGGAACACCAGUGGCGAAGGCGGCGAUCUGGGCAGAUACUGACACUGAGACGCGAAAGCGUGGGAAG